rnacentral:rRNA from 1 species
UGAGAGCUCUUUCUCGAUUCGGUGGAUGGUGGUGCAUGGCCGUUCUUAGUUGGUGGAGUGAUUUGUCUGGUUAAUUCCGAUAACGAACGAGACUCUAGCCUACUAGUUAGUGAGGCGGUUUUUACAGCCGUUCCCACUUCUUAGAGGGACAAGUGGCUCUUAGCCACACGAGAUGGAGCAAUAACAGGUCUGUGAUGCCCUUAGAUGUCCGGGGCCGCACGCGCGCUACACUGAAAGAAUCAACGUGUUUGGUUACCCCUAACCCGAUAGGGUAGGGCAAUCCGUUGAACCUCUUUCGUGCUUGGGAUUGGGGCUUGUAAUUCUUCCCCAUGAACGAGGAAUUCCCAGUAAGCGUGAGUCAUCAGCUCACGUUGAUUACGUCCCUGCCCUUUGUACACACCGCCCGUCGCUACUACCGAUUGGAUGGCUUAGUGAGACCUUUGGACUGGACCGCCUG